rnacentral:tRNA from 4 species
GCGCCUGUAGCUCAUUUGGAUAGAGCGUCAGACUCCGACUCUGAAGGCGGCUGGUUCGAAUCCAGUCAGGCGCGCCA